CAAGGAAGCAGGCAAAAUCAGAAUGUAGAACAUUCUAUAGAACAACUGAUCAACUUCUCUAACCAGUCAAUGGUUUGUGGAAAAAUGGGGAAAAUGAAUGUUGCUGCUAACAUUUGACAUCAAUCGCCAAAUCACAUGUUGUCACAUCAUUACUCAGCUCCGUGACAAAGGCAGAGGAAAGAGACUGCGGCUGUAAUGGUGCUGUUGGGCGAGGAACCCAUUCGGGGGCCCUGGCGAGGAUGGAAUAGGGAACAGAAUGAAAUCUGGCUAAAGAUGCUCUGCAUUAUGGGUCAUGUUGAGGAGGAAACAGAAUAGGAACCUGAUGCCUUAUCAGGAUGACUAUACAUUUCAUGUUUAAUUGCAUAAAUUUCUGUGUUUUAA